GGUUUGUUUGGUUUGAACAUAGGCUUUAAACAUUAUUGGGUCCUAGUUAGGCUAUGCAUUCAAUAAAAAACCUAGCCCUUUGUAUUUCAUGGCAUGCCACAUGUACCUUUUGGAUUUGAUGGCACUUCAAUUUGGGGAAAGGGAUAUGAGUCUUCUCAAUCCUGGAUGGUUUCCUAUGAACAUUCCUCACAGCCCUGCUCAAAUUUGGCAUGAGCCUAGGAGAGCUCCAGCCUCUCAAAGAGCUGGAAACAUCUGUAACCUUUCGACUAUAAUUGGGACAUUGCCUCUGAGACACAAUUGUAUAUCAAAGUCAGCUUGAAGCAGCCAAACAGGGUAGUCACAGAGUCAUCUAUUUUACGUUGGUCAUAGGACUUUUCUUGAAGCAGCUAUUCCUCGAGAUAGAAAUGCCCAAAGCCAGACAAGUUCACAUCAGAGUCCUUACAAGAUUCUGUGCUGAAAGUUUCAGUCUUACAUAAUUAUCGACUUUCUUCUCAUGACACGAAAUACAUAUAUCUUAACUAGAAUAAUCUUAUCUUUGAAGUUUUUGUUGAUUGCUCAUAUCAGACUUUUGUACAUGUAAAAGUGAAAGCUAUAGGACUGGUUUGUAUUUGGUUUGAGUUUUAUUGCUGGCAUCUUUGCAGGUAUACAAAUUCAGUUUCUCGGCCACAGCUUGCUGAAGAAUGCCCCAACAGUGAUCGCAUAUUUUACAACAGGGAUUCUUUCAACUGUUCGAAUUUUCUUGAUGUUGACUGGCUUUCCUCAUCUGGAAAUUCAUGUGAAGACGAAACAUAUGAGAGGUCAACACUUGUAGGCUCUCCUAUCGGUGGUCAAUCAUCUGACAAUGUAAUAAAUGAAAUGUGCACCUUCGCUAGCGAUUCUGAGAUAUCUCUUACUGUGAAGGAUGGUAGAGGUGGGUUUUCAGAUAGAUUUGCAGAAUGGGUGACCAAUGGGGAUAUGUUCCUUUGAUCAGUUUUGCCAACAGAAAACCUAAAAUCUUCUUACCCAUAAAUCAUUGAAUUCAGUCAUCCCCUCCAAAGGAUGUGGGUUGCAAAGCAGAAAUAAGUGGUAAGAGAAUACCAUUAGAGAAACAAAAAGAAGAAGCUGCAUUUUUUAUGAAGAAAGAUAUAGAACCCCUUAAAAAAAAAGUAAAAGUAAAAGUAUGCUAACCCUUGUAAAAAAGAUGAUACUAAAAGCAUACAUGAAAACCCUUCUAGUACAGUACAAAAAAGAGUAAAAAACUACAACUGGUUUUUUUUUUCCUUCACAAUUUGAAUCUUUGUAAAUAAUUUUUUGAUGCUAUUUAGUCAGAUUGGAGAUUCAUUCUAUAAGUGUUCUUUCUUCCUUUCA